rnacentral:rRNA from 1 species
GACAGAGGGUGCAAACGUUGUUCGGAAUUACUGGGCGUAAAGCGCGUGUAGGCUGCUUCGCAAGUCGGAUGUGAAAGCCCUGGGCUCAACCCAGGAAGUGCAUUCGAAACUGCAGAGCUGGAGUCCUGGAGAGGAAGGCGGAAUUCUCGGUGUAGAGGUGAAAUUCGUAGAUAUCGAGAGGAACACCAGUGGCGAAGGCGGCUUUCUGGCCUGCUCUUGACGCUGAGGCGCGAAAGCUAGGGUAGCAAACGGG